GGUUAAGCGACUAAGCGUACACGGUGGAUGCCCUGGCAGUCAGAGGCGAUGAAGGACGUGCUAAUCUGCGAUAAGCGCCGGUAAGGUGAUAUGAACCGUUAUAACCGGCGAUUUCCGAAUGGGGAAACCCAGUGUGACUCGUCACACUAUCAUUAACUGAAUCCAUAGGUUAAUGAGGCGAACCGGGGGAACUGAAACAUCUAAGUACCCCGAGGAAAAGAAAUCAACCGAGAUUCCCCCAGUAGCGGCGAGCGAACGGGGAGGAGCCCAGAGCCUGAAUCAGCAUGUGUGUUAGUGGAAGCGUCUGGAAAGGCGCGCGAUACAGGGUGACAGCCCCGUACACAAAAGCGCAUGUGCUGUGAGCUCGAUGAGUAGGGCGGGACACGUGGUAUCCUGUCUGAAUAUGGGGGGACCAUCCUCCAAGGCUAAAUACUCCUGACUGACCGAUAGUGAACCAGUACCGUGAGGGAAAGGCGAAAAGAACCCCGGCGAGGGGAGUGAAAAAGAACCUGAAACCGUGUACGUACAAGCAGUGGGAGCCCCACCACUAAGCCAGUGGUGAACUCCACAUA
rnacentral:rRNA from 1 species